rnacentral:rRNA from 1 species
UCAAGUGAAUAAGUGCAUACGACGGAUGCCUUGGCAGUAGAAGGCGAUGAAGGACGUGAUAAUCUGCGAUAAGCUUCGGUUAGCUGAUAAUAAGCUUUAACCCGGAGAUCUCCGAAUGGGAAAACCCAGUGAUCAUAAGAUCAUUAUCCUUAACUGAAUACAUAGGUUAAGGAGGCAAACCUAGGGAACUGAAACAUCUAAGUACCUAGAGGAAAAGAAAUCAACCGAGAUUCCCUUAGUAGCGGCGAGCGAACGGGGAACAGCCCAGUUGCCAUCAAUCAACCGAUCUUAAAGGAACAGUCUGGAAAGUCUGGCCAUAGAAGGUGAUAGCCCUGUAUUUGAAAAGUGAGGUUGAGGAGCAACAAAGAGUAGGACGGGGCACGUGAAACCUUGUCUGAACAUGGGGGGACCAUCCUCCAAGGCUAAAUACUACCUACCGACCGAUAGUGAACCAGUACCGUGAGGGAAAGGCGAAAAGAACCCCGGAGAGGGGAGUGAAAUAGAACCUGAAACCGUUUGCAUACAAGCUGUCGGAGCUUUGAUAUCUUCGGAUAUUAUAGUGACGGCGUACCUUUUGUAUAAUGGGUCAGCGAGUUAAUUUCUGUGGCAAGCUUAACUUUUUUAAGGUAGGCGAAGGGAAACCGAGUCUUAAUAGGGCGAAUCAGUCUCAGGUAUUAGACGCGAAACCGGACGAUCUAUCCAUGGCCAGGGUGAAGGUGAGGUAACACUUACUGGAGGCCCGAACCCACCUAUGUUGAAAAAUGGGGGGAUGAGCUGUGGAUCGGAGUGAAAGGCUAAUCAAGUCUGGAGAUAGCUGGUUCUCCCCGAAAACUAUUUAGGUAGUGCCUCAUGUAUUACUCUCGGGGGUAGAGCACUGUUUCGGCUAGGGGGUCAUCCCGACUUACCAAACCGAUGCAAACUCCGAAUACCAACAAGUACAGUGAGGGAGACAGACUGCGGGUGCUAACGUCCGUAGUCGAGAGGGAAACAACCCAGAUCGCCAGCUAAGGUCCCAAAGUAUGAUUAAGUGGGAAACGUAGUAGGAAGGCAUAAACAGCUAGGAGGUUGGCUUAGAAGCAGCCACCCUUUAAAGAAAGCGUAACAGCUCACUAGUCGAGUCGGCCUGCGCGGAAGAUGUACCGGGGCUAAAUCAUACACCGAAGCUGCGAAUAGAAAUACGGUUCGCCGUAUUCCUAUGGUAGGGGAGCGUUCUGUAUGCCACUGAAGGUAAAUCGAGAGGUUUAUUGGAGGUAUCAGAAGUGAGAAUGCUGACAUAAGUAACGAUAAGAGGGGUGAAAAACCCCUCCGCCGAAAACCCAAGGUUUCCUGUUCAACGUUAAUCGGAACAGGGUGAGUCGACCCCUAAGGCGAGGGCGAAAGCCGUAGUCGAUGGGAAAUAGGUUAAUAUUCCUAUACUUCUUGUUACUGCGAUGGAGUGACGGAGAAGGCUAGGCCAGCACAGCGACGGUAGUUCUGUGUUUAAAGUUGUAGGUUGGAGAUCUAGGUAAAUCCGGAUUUCUAAGACCGAGAACUGAUGACGAUUAUCUUUUCGGAGAUAAGAAGUGGUUGAUGCCAUGCUUCCAGGAAAAACUUCUAAGCUAUAGGUAGCAAGGAAUCGUACCGCAAACCGACACAGGUGGGUAGGUAGAGAAUACUAAGGCGCUUGAGAGAACUCUGGUGAAGGAACUAGGCAAAAUGGUACCGUAACUUCGGGAGAAGGUACGCCCUCAUUACGUGAAGAGAUUUACUCUCGGAGCGGAAGAGGGUCGAAGAUACCAGUUAGCUCCGACUGUUUACUAAAAACAUAGCACUAUGCAAACACGAAAGUGGACGUAUAUGGUGUGACGCCUGCCCGGUGCCGGAAGGUUAAUUGAUUGGGUUAGUCCCUUGUGGACGAAGCUCAUGAUCGAAGCCCCGGUGAACGGCGGCCGUAACUAUAACGGUCCUAAGGUAGCGAAAUUCCUUGUCGGGUAAGUUCCGACCUGCACGAAUGGCGUAACGAGGGCUAAGCUGUCUCCACCAGAGACUCAGUGAAAUUGAAUUUGCGGUGAAGAUGCCGUAUACGCGCGGCUAGACGGAAAGACCCCGUGCACCUUUACUAUAGGUUCACACUGGACUUUAGAUUUAUUUGUGUAGGAU